rnacentral:tRNA from 2 species
CCCUUGGUAGUCUAGUUGGUUAUGGCGUUCGGCUGUAAUUGUAAAUUUCAUGAUUGUUACCGAAAAGUCACCGGUUCGAUUCCGGUCCGAGGGA